rnacentral:rRNA from 1 species
AACGAACGCUGGCGGCAUGCCUAACACAUGCAAGUCGAACGAGACCUUCGGGUCUAGUGGCGCACGGGUGCGUAACGCGUGGGAACCUGCCCUUAGGUUCGGAAUAACUCCCCGAAGGGGGUGCUAAUACCGGAUAAUGUCUUCGGACCAAAGAUUUAUCGCCUUUGGAUGGGCCCGCGUUGGAUUAGCGAGUUGGUAGGGUAAAAGCCUACCAAGGCGACGAUCCAUAGCUGGUCUGAGAGGAUGAUCAGCCACACUGGGACUGAGACACGGCCCAGACUCCUACGGGAGGCAGCAGUGGGGAAUAUUGGACAAUGGGCGAAAGCCUGAUCCAGCAAUGCCGCGUGAGUGAUGAAGGCCUUAGGGUUGUAAAGCUCUUUUACCCGGGAUGAUAAUGACAGUACCGGGAGAAUAAGCGCCGGCUAACUCCGUG